AUUGAACGCUGGCGGCAUGCCUUACACAUGCAAGUCGAACGGCAGCACGGGUGCUUGCACCUGGUGGCGAGUGGCGAACGGGUGAGUAAUACAUCGGAACAUGUCCUGUAGUGGGGGAUAGCCCGGCGAAAGCCGGAUUAAUACCGCAUACGAUCUACGGAUGAAAGCGGGGGACCUUCGGGCCUCGCGCUAUAGGGUUGGCCGAUGGCUGAUUAGCUAGUUGGUGGGGUAAAGGCCUACCAAGGCGACGAUCAGUAGCUGGUCUGAGAGGACGACCAGCCCCACUGGGACUGACACACGGCCCAGACUCCUACGGGAGGCAGCAGUGGGGAAUUUUGGACAAUGGGCGAAAGCCUGAUCCAGCAAUGCCGCGUGUGUGAAGAAGGCCUUCGGGUUGUAAAGCACUUUUGUCCGGAAAGAAAUCCUUGGCCCUAAUACGGUCGGGGGAUGACGGUACCGGAAGAAUAAGCACCGGCUAACUACGU
rnacentral:rRNA from 1 species